CUCUUUUGGACAGCCUCCACCAGCUCUGCUCCUUAAAUCAGCUUUUCUGGCAGGGAUCUCUUCUUGGAAGAAGGCACGGCACCAGCUCGGGUUCCCAACCAAAGCCUGACAGAAUGUGUGCAGCCCCACUCCAGGGCUCCCGAGAGGCAGAGCCCGGGAAGGGAACGGGCUCUUCCAGGGCAGGACAGGCCAGCCCAGCCCGGCCAGCAUCAAACACUGCUGAGGCCACUGAUAAAGGCCCUGCCAAAAAGGACUCGCCAAGGUCUUAGAGGAGUUUCAGGGAUGUUUUCAAGUCUUACUAGAUUUAAAGGAUGAUCCUUGGCAAACUCCCCCUGAUGCUUCUCAGCAUUUCUAGAGCCAACAGUUGUUCCAUCUGCUGCUGAGGCUGACUUUGAAGAAUCCUUGCAAAGAGCAGCACACUGACUUUAACACUACACAAGAGAAGAGAAAGCCACAGCUUUUCUGAAGUGACCUAGAUGUUUGCCAGUAGCUUGACAUGCUCUCAGGACUGCUUUGUCCCUGCAUUCCUCAGGAAUUCCUCAGCUGAAUUCUUCCUGGAUGUUUUAACAACGUCCUCCCAUUCCAGGGGGAACAAAAGCCUGGAACAAAGCCCCUGCAGCCCGGGCCCAGGGAUGAAGGAGAGACGUCACCACGAGAAGUGUCCCAGCCUCCCUGUGUGUCCAGGGACCCAGAACAGCCACAGAAUCUGAUCCCCAUGGCUUGCCUCAGCUACUGGACCAUCCCUCCUUUCCUGAGAUGACACAGCCAUAACAGCAUUCCCACCAGUAAUGUGCACCAGCCCCUUGAAGCUGCUGGAUAUGAUGGUGUCUCUGUGCUAACACUUCAUGUUUUUUUUUUAUUUUACUUGCUGUAUUUCCCCUGUUUUCCCCCAGGCUGUAAGGUGUCUGGGUCAGGGAAUGCCAAAAUUUUAUUUACAAUUACUGCAGGAGUCCACUCUCAGCUGAGUUGUAGGGAACCACUGGAGUCAAUAUAAAUAUGCACAUAUUAAUGGUAAAGUGCUGUCCAUUAACUAUUAGAAUCCUCAGUUAAUUCUAAGAAGCCUUUCUGUGAUGGAUGCAAUGCAGACACAGAGUGGAAAUGUUUUUCUCUUCAAAACUAAAUCAGUAAGGCAGUUUAAAUAUGUAUUUCUUAGCAUGUGAAUACUUAUAAUCACUGUUUAAAGCUAAGCACUACAGUAAGAAUUUAAGGGGCAGAGGUCAAAAGCAGUUAGAAAUCAGGCAAACUAGAAGUGCCUGGAAGCUCCCCUCACCUCCUAAUAAAACAUAAAAAGAAAGAGAAAAUAAACGUAGUGGGCAGGAGAAGCAACAAUUGCUGCUGCUUUGUGAACAGGGAGGAAUUCCCAAGCCAGCUGCCUAGGAGA